rnacentral:rRNA from 1 species
UACGUAGGGGGCUAGCGUUAUCCGGAAUUACUGGGCGUAAAGGGUGCGUAGGUGGUUUCUUAAGUCAGAGGUGAAAGGCUACGGCUCAACCGUAGUAAGCCUUUGAAACUGGGAAACUUGAGUGCAGGAGAGGAGAGUGGAAUUCCUAGUGUAGCGGUGAAAUGCGUAGAUAUUAGGAGGAACACCAGUGGCGAAGGCGAUUCUCUGGACUGUAACUGACGCUGAGGCUCGAAAGCGUGGGGAGCAAACAGG